UGGGGAAUAUUGGACAAUGGGCGAAAGCCUGAUCCAGCCAUGCCGCGUGUGUGAAGAAGGUCUUCGGAUUGUAAAGCACUUUAAGUUGGGAGGAAGGGCAUUAACCUAAUACGUUAGUGUUUUGACGUUACCGACAGAAUAAGCACCGGCUAACUCUGUGCCAGCAGCCGCGGUAAUACAGAGGGUGCAAGCGUUAAUCGGAAUUACUGGGCGUAAAGCGCGCGUAGGUGGUUUGUUAAGUUGGAUGUGAAAUCCCCGGGCUCAACCUGGGAACUGCAUUCAAAACUGACUGACUAGAGUAUGGUAGAGGGUGGUGGAAUUUCCUGUGUAGCGGUGAAAUGCGUAGAUAUAGGAAGGAACACCAGUGGCGAAGG
rnacentral:rRNA from 1 species